AUCUUCCACAAAUCAUUCUUCUUCUGCUAACUGGGAAAUUAAUAUAUGCUCUCUGUUGCUUAUUUAGGUUAUGAAGUUUAUUUAUUUAAAGUGUACUGUUUGUAUGCCCUACAGUAUUAUUCAGAUUAUGAAGUUUAUUUAUUUACAGUGUACUGUUCUCCUAUCUUCACGAGAUUGGAGAAAAACUAUCAUAAAUCGGAGGCAGGUCGUUGCUUGGCAAAGAAGUCGUACAUGUUGUAAGAAAAUCAGGGGAG
rnacentral:lncRNA from 1 species